GCGACUAUGGUGUAACGGUAGCACAGAAGUUUGUGGAGCUUCUGGAGAGGGUUCAACUCCCUCUAGUCGCC
rnacentral:tRNA from 1 species